UACGAACUGUGCGAACGUUAUUCGGAAUCACUGGGCUUACAGGGUGCGUAGGCGGCUUGUCAAGUAGGGUGUGAAAGCCCCCGGCUCAACCGGGGAAUGGCGCCCUAAACUGGCGAGCUAGAGUGAGAUAGGGGUGUGUGGAACUUCCGGUGGAGCGGUGAAAUGUGUUGAUAUCGGAAGGAACGCCGGUGGCGAAAGCGGCUCUCUGGACCGAUACUGACGCUGAGGCGCGAAAGCGUGGGGAGCAAACAGG
rnacentral:rRNA from 1 species